AAUAACAACAAUUGAAAAUUAAAAAAUUAACAAAUUGGAUAUUUAAUACCAAUUUUUGAAGCUUGUGUUGCUAGAAAACUAUAACAUGGGUUCUUAUCAUCAAUAGACAUCUGUUUAUUAUUACGUGUUUUGCUUUUACUCAGCCAAUGGUUGCAAGAGUUGACGUGCAAAACUGCGUAUUGAAGAGGUUAAGUGAUUGUUGCAUGUAAAGGUUGUCUAUCAUUAGAUAUAUGACAAAAUCAGCAAGUUGGGUAACGGAUUGGGCUGACCCGUAAACACCGUUAUGUCCUUUUUUAAAUAUAUAAAUAACUCAUGUAUUAAAUAUGAUUACAAAAAACUAUACCAUGGAUGUGAAUGAGAGGAUUCAUAUGACCGUGGGCGGAGAGGGGGUCCAUUUAGAAAGUAUACCAUGGAUGUGAAUCAGAGGAUUCUCCUUUCAUUUUUUUCUUUUUUCUGCAUUGUUGCAUAGACCCACCUUUGCUGCUAAAAGGGAAAGCAUCCAUUAUUGUUUUUGAAAUACUGAUCAUGCUUAUUUGAAAUUUAAAAUUUUCAUUGCAUUUUUUUCUCACUUUUUGCUCUUCUUUUAGUCCAUAUGUUGUGUACCUUGGAGCUCAUUCACAUAAUUUUGAAGCUUCACUCAUUGAUUUAGAUCAAGUUAAAGAUGGUCACUAUCUGUUGUUUGGGAAGUAAAGAAAAGGCGAAAGAUGCCAUCUUUUACUCAUAGAAGGCAAAGAUGAUGAGGGCCAUUUCUUUGAUGAUUCGUCGACGACCACCGUCUCCUUGCGGUCUUCAAGUUUAAAGUCGACCCAACUUAAAAAAAGGCCAUGGUGACGAACGCGAACCCCAACGGCGCACUUCGAUGAUGACGACUAGGGUUCCGGCGACUGUUCCGGAACCAUUGAGUGUAACUGAUAGGAGGUAGAUAUGAACACUGAUUCACAGCCACCACCAAAAAGGCCGGGUGAAGGUGAAUGUCCGACUAAAAGAUGAACCGUUGAAGACAACCCUUUUGUCCACCUAAAAGAACAAGUAUCCGUGGAAUGGCAUCCUACAUCUAGAAAUGCCAAAGACAUUUCUUUUGUACAAAUCAUGCUUGAAAGUUCUAUCUGGAAGAAGCCUAUUAUUCCGUGCUCAUUGGCAUAUGACGGUUUUAAAAGUUAAAACAAUAUGUUUUUUUAAACAAUUUAUUGUAAGAUCACCCGUGUAACACACAUGAAAUUUAUCCAAUAUAUGUCUUUACAUAUAAUUUAAAUUUGAAUAAAAAUAAUAGGUUCGUUGAA